UUCAAAACUGUUCACCGUGAGGGAAGAGAUUCAGGUGCGUAAUCAUGGAAAGACUAAUGGAUUCGUGAUAUAUAGGCUAUCAGUCGGGUUUGACAGAUUUG